GAUGAACGCUGGCGGCGUGCCUAAUACAUGCAAGUCGAGCGAAGCGGGGACGGGUGAGUAACACGUGGAUAACCUCCUCUAAGACUGGGAUAACUUCGGGGAACCGGAGCUAAACCGGAAACUUAUAGAUGGAUCUGCGUUGCAUUAGCUAGUUGGUAAGGUAACGGCGUACAAAGGCAACGAUGCAUAGCCGACCUGAGAGGGUUAUCGGCAAAACUGGAACGGAGACACGGUCCAGACUCGUACGGGAGGCAGCAGUAGGGAAUCUUCCGCAAUGGGCGAAAGCCUGACGGAGCAACGCCGCGUGAGUGAUGAAGGUCUUCGGAUCGUAAAACUCUGUUAGUAGGGAAGCGGUACCGAAUCAGAAAGCCACGGCUAACUACGUGCCAGCAGCCGCGGUAAUUC
rnacentral:rRNA from 1 species